rnacentral:tRNA from 1 species
GAGGGUAUAGCUCAGUGAUAGAGUGCAGGCUUAGCAUGCCUGGGUUUAAUCCCCAGUAUCUUCA